UAAGAUUAAAACUUGAAGGAGGUGACAUUCCCCAGAAAAGUUGUUCACCAUACCAUCCCAUGUUGGGUUGCCCACCAGUCCAGAUCAACAGUUUGUUGAG